GACGAACGCUGGCGGCGUGCUUAACACAUGCAAGUCGAGCGGUAAGGCCCUUUCGGGGGUACACGAGCGGCGAACGGGUGAGUAACACGUGGGUGACCUGCCCUCAGCUCUGGGAUAAGCCCGGGAAACUGGGUCUAAUACCGGAUAUGACUUCAUGACGCAUGUUGUGGAGUGGAAAGCCUUGUGCGGCUGAGGAUGGGCCCGCGGCCUAUCAGCUUGUUGGUGGGGUGAGGCCUACCAAGGCGACGACGGGUAGCCGGCCUGAGAGGGCGACCGGCCACACUGGGACUGAGAUACGGCCCAGACUCCUACGGGAGGCAGCAGUGGGGAAUCUUGCGCAAUGGGCGAAAGCCUGACGCAGCGACG
rnacentral:rRNA from 1 species